GCAUAAAAGGAUGGAUGGAUGAGAAGGAAGAGGAAAAGAGGAAGGAAUUAGAGUUUGUGAUGUGAAUGAAAAAGAAGGCUUUUCCUCCUCCUUCCUUCCUCCUUCCUUCUUCCUUCUUCCUUCUUCCUUCUUCCUCCU